UACGAAGGGGGCUAGCGUUGCUCGGAAUCACUGGGCGUAAAGGGCGCGUAGGCGGAUGUUUAAGUUGGGGGUGAAAGCCCGGGGCUCAACCUCGGAAUUGCCUUCAAUACUGGACAUCUUGAGUACGGGAGAGGUGAGUGGAACUCCGAGUGUAGAGGUGAAAUUCGUAGAUAUUCGGAAGAACACCAGUGGCGAAGGCGACUCACUGGCCCGUUACUGACGCUGAGGCGCGAAAGCGUGGGGAGCAAACAGG
rnacentral:rRNA from 1 species